rnacentral:tRNA from 1 species
UUCAAAUAGCUUAUAGUUAGAGUAUGAUAUUGAAGAUAUCAGGGAAACAUUUAUGUUUUUGAA